GGAAUUUUCCGCAAUGGGCGAAAGCCUGACGGAGCAACGCCGCGUGAGGGAUGAAGGCCUCUGGGCUGUAAACCUCUUUUAUCAAGGAAGAAGAUCUGACGGUACUUGAUGAAUAAGCCACGGCUAAUUCCGUGCCAGCAGCCGCGGUAAUACGGGAGUGGCAAGCGUUAUCCGGAAUUAUUGGGCGUAAAGCGUCCGCAGGCGGUCUUGUAAGUCUGUUGUUAAAGCGUGGAGCUUAACUCCAUUUCAGCAAUGGAAACUGCUAGACUAGAGUGUGGUAGGGGCAGAGGGAAUUCCCGGUGUAGCGGUGAAAUGCGUAGAUAUCGGGAAGAACACCAGUGGCGAAGGCGCUCUGCUGGGCCAUAACUGACGCUCAUGGACGAAAGCCAGGGGAGCGAAAGGGAUUAGAUACCCCUGUAGUC
rnacentral:rRNA from 1 species